rnacentral:rRNA from 1 species
GACGAACCGUGCGAACGUUAUUCGGAAUCACUGGGCUUAAAGCGCGUGUAGGCGGCCCGGCACGUCCGACGCUGAAAGCCCCCGGGCUCAACCUGGGAAUGGCAUUUUGAUACUCUGAGGCUGGAGUACGGGGAGAGGAGAGUGGAAUUCCCCAGUGUAGAGGUGAAAAUUCGUAGAUAUUGGGAAGAACACCGGUGGCGAAGGCGGCUCUCUGGACCGUAACUGACGCUGAGGCGCGAAAAGCGUGGGGGAGCAAACAGGG